rnacentral:tRNA from 1 species
GGCCCCAUAGGCGAAUGGUUUAAGCCGUCACUCUUUCAAAGUGAAGAUUACGGGUUCAAAUCCCGUUGGGGCUA